GACGAACGCUGGCGGCGUGCCUAACACAUGCAAGUCGAACGAUCCAGCACUCAAGGUUUACCUUGAAUGCUGGAUAGUGGCGGACGGGUGAGUAACGCGUGAGCAACCUGCCUUUUUGAGGGGGAUAACACCGGGAAACCGGUGCUAAUACCGCAUAACAUAUCGAGGUCGCAUGGCUUUGAUAUCAAAGGAGCAAUCCGCAAAAAGAUGGGCUCGCGUCCGAUUAGCUAGUUGGUGGGGUAAAAGCCUACCAAGGCGACGAUCGGUAGCCGGACUGAGAGGUUGAACGGCCACAUUGGGACUGAGACACGGCCCAG
rnacentral:rRNA from 1 species